CAACAGAAUCAGUAUGCAAUCAAGCAUGGAAUGGAUUCCAGAUAGGAAUAUAGGAUUCACCUUACACUCAGAAACUGGGGGAUAGGCCUAGUUGUUCAAAAUACACGGCGUUGCUGCAUGGACUUGAAGAGAUAGUUAUGAAUUUAGAAUAUCAUCAAGUGACUUUUAAUAAGGCACUGUUUUCAGUGGAUGAACCGACAUCAUGCAGUGUGACAGGAAAACGCCCGUGAGACCAAAGAUGGCUUGGAUAAAAGGGAAGACAAUGCAGAAGGUGCAUAUAUACAAGUUCAAGACAUAGACAUUUUAAAUUUUGCAUGUUCAUUUACAAAACCUGUUAUGCAACCUCUCAAUUAAUUCAUUAUGCUAUCUUUUAAGCCUCUGUACCAGAGAAAAAUCCAGAGAUGGCCCCCAAAGAAGUUAGAAACAAGAUGAGAGACCAUCUCAAGUUGUUUAGGUCUGGAGCCACCUUCCCCCACCCACGAGUCGAAGAAAUAGAUCUUUGAACCACUCCAGGUUACCCGUGACAUCAAGAUAAACAAAAUUCAACUUCAGGGACAAAAAUUGAUAAUACCUGUUUAAAAAUUUUUUUUUAGUUCACCUGGGCCGAAGGUUCAAGUGAGCUUUUCUGAUCAAAAUUUGUUCGUUGUCUGUCGUCGGCGAAAACUUUUCACAUUUUCAUCUUCUCCAGAACCACUGGGUCAAUUUCAACCAAACUAAGUGACACAAAGCACCCUUGGGUGAAAGGCUUUCAAGUUUGUUCAAAUGAAGGGCCAUGCCCCUUCAAAGGGGAGAUAAUC